GAUUGAACGCUGGCGGCAGGCCUAACACAUGCAAGUCGAGCGGUAGAGAGGUGCUUGCACCUCUUGAGAGCGGCGGACGGGUGAGUAAUGCCUAGGAAUCUGCCUGGUAGUGGGGGAUAACGCUCGGAAACGGACGCUAAUACCGCAUACGUCCUACGGGAGAAAGCAGGGGACCUUCGGGCCUUGCGCUAUCAGAUGAGCCUAGGUCGGAUUAGCUAGUUGGUGGGGUAAUGGCUCACCAAGGCGACGAUCCGUAACUGGUCUGAGAGGAUGAUCAGUCACACUGGAACUGAGACACGGUCCAGACUCCUACGGGAGGCAGCAGUGGGGAAUAUUGGACAAUGGGCGAAAGCCUGAUCCAGCCAUGCCGCGUGUGUGAAGAAGGUCUUCGGAUUGUAAAGCACUUUAAGUUGGGAGGAAGGGCAUUAACCUAAUACGUUAGUGUUUGA
rnacentral:rRNA from 1 species